rnacentral:lncRNA from 13 species
AUGGUGAUGACUAAGAAACACUUGGUUUCUGGCCAGGCACAGUGGCUCACACCUGUAAUCUCAGCACUUUGGGACAUCCACAAGGGCUUCACUCUGUUGCCUAGGCUGAAGUACGGUGGCAUGAUCAUGGCUCACUGCAGUUUUGGCCUCCUGGGCUCAAGUAAUCCUCCCAUGCCAGCCUCUGAAGUAGCUAGGACCUCAGGUAUGUGCCACCAUACCUGGCUAAUUAAAAAAUUUGGUUUUGGCAUAAAUGGAAUCUUGCUUUGUUACCAAGACUGGUCUCGAACUUCUGAGCUUAAGUAAUCCUCCUGCCUCAGCCUCCCAAAGUGCUGGGAUUAUAGGCAUGAGCCACUGUGCCCAGCCAGUGCCACCUCUUUCAAUGGGUUUCUUUUGUGCUAACCUGUAUAGGGAAUAUUAGUCAUUGUUUCCUUGUGGAAUUAUUAGGGUUUUUUAAUUUUGUUUUUGCAAUGUCAGAGUUACUUAAAAUCAAUACAUUUAGAGACUCCUUCAUCCCAUGCUUAUAUAUGGAUUUCUCAGUCAAGCUUAGAGAAUAUUGGCACCAUGCGUUUUCCUAACCACAUGAAUCACAUAUGUAUUUAAUGGACUGGAGUGGGCUAUUCUCUGCUCUAAUAACAACGUAGUUAUGAGGGUCUUUAGUUUUGUGGGCCCAACACUAAUUAUAUUAGUGUUGAGUUUUUUUACCUUGUAUUUUUUCUUUGAAGUAAGAGACAGGAAGUAAAACUCAAACUUUGAGAAAGUCAAAUGAAUCAUAGCAUCUGAGUUUUAGAAGAACUCUUUGUAAUUGUCUGGAAACCAAAAAUAGAAACCAGGGGUCAGAAAGAUUAGAUUAAGUGACUCCAUUACACGUCAUUUAAAAAGAGUUAUAAUGUGAAAAGAACAGCAGUGCAGCAACCACCUCUAUGCACUACUGAGUCCCGAGUCCAUCAGUUGAGGAGGGACAAAGCAGGGGAAUUCUGAAACAGUGUUAGCAAAAGAAUGGGUUAGCAAUGUGCUGGCUAACGUUGUGUACAGAUUUGAAGCCUGCUAAGCAGUGGGAACACAAGUGAACCCUGCUCCAAUUAUCAACAUUACAGACUACCUCACUUGCGAGGUUGUUAUUGGCUACAACUCCUUUAUUGUACAGAGUAGGCCAGAGCCCUUGAGUGGUCUGUCCAAUGUCAUUGAGGUUCUUGGGGGCAGAUGCAGUGUUGCAACUCAGGCCUUCAGGAUCUUUACACAGUGGUCUUCUAACUGAUGAUUUCUAGACUUUUAUGGAGGUGCUUUAGAAGCAAUUUUUUUUUUU